UACGUAGGGUGCAAGCGUUGUCCGGAAUUACUGGGUGUAAAGGGUGCGCAGGCGGAUCUGCUUGUCGGAGGUUAAAGACCUCGGCUUAACCGAGGGAGUGCCUUCGAAACGGCAGAUCUUGAAUAUGAGAGAGGAUGAUAGAAUUCCUGGUGUAGCGGUGAAAUGCGUAGAUAUCAGGAGGAAUACCAGUGGCGAAGGCGGUCAUCUGGCUCAUCAUUGACGCUCAGGCACGAAAGCGUGGGUAGCGAACAGG
rnacentral:rRNA from 1 species